GGCUCAUACUAUAUGCACAGUUGCUCGCUGUCAGUGGAUUGAUUGUUUGGUCACUAUCAACUACUCAUUGUAUGGACUUGCCGGCCGACCCAAAGAUCAACUAACCUGAAUGUGUGACCGACAUACAUAUGUAUCUCAGGUGAUCAGAACCAGCUUUCAAAAGCUUUCAAUAGGAAAACUGGAAAAACUGUACCCGAAGUCGCCUAUUGAACUGAAUCAGUUUUCAUGGAGACCUGAAAAAUUAAAAAGAAUAUUUUAUAAUCAAAAAUAAUCGAUAAGUGUAGCAUACCAAAUUACCCUUAUGAUGCUGUUAUGCGCUUUUUAUACUUACAAAGAACUUUUAUUGCGUUACGAGUUUAAAAUAAGUUCCCCCAUACUAAUAAUUUCACACUAAUUCUGUCGCAUACAAAUCAAGUCAAAGAAAUUGCAUUUCCUGAAGUUAAUCGCUCCUUUCUUGUGUCUUAUACUACUGAUGCCAUACAAUAUGGUAGAAGCAAAUCCUAAUCCUCUAGGAGUCAAGGGUGUCAACACCCCGUUUAAAGAGUGAUGAAGAAAUAAAAAAACUAAUAAUUUUUGCGCAGCAGAA